rnacentral:rRNA from 1 species
UGGUGGAGUGAUUUGUCUGGUUAAUUCCGAUAACGAACGAGACCUUAACCUGCUAAAUAGACCAGCCGACUUUGGUUAGCUGCUGUCUUCUUAGAGGGACUAUCAGCGUUUAGCUGAUGGAAGUUUGAGGCAAUAACA